rnacentral:rRNA from 1 species
CGGGUGAGUAACACGUGGAUAACCUACCUAUAAGACUGGGAUAACUUCGGGAAACCGGAGCUAAUACCGGAUAAUAUUUUGAACCGCAUGGUUCAAAAGUGAAAGACGGUCUUGCUGUCACUUAUAGAUGGAUCCGCGCUGCAUUAGCUAGUUGGUAAGGUAACGGCUUACCAAGGCAACGAUGCAUAGCCGACCUGACGAGGGUGAUCGGCCACUACUGGAACUGAGACACGGUCCGAG